rnacentral:rRNA from 1 species
UACAGAGGGUGCAAGCGUUAAUCGGAAUUACUGGGCGUAAAGCGCGCGUAGGUGGUUCGUUAAGUUGGAUGUGAAAUCCCCGGGCUCAACCUGGGAACCGCAUUCAAAACUGACGAGCUAGAGUAUGGUAGAGGGUGGUGGAAUUUCCUGUGUAGCGGUGAAAUGCGUAGAUAUAGGAAGGAACACCAGUGGCGAAGGCGACCACCUGGACUGAUACUGACACUGAGGUGCGAAAGCGUGGGGAGCAAACAGG